UGAGUUUGCAUCUCCACAAAUGAGAUUUUUACCAUACAACAACUAUUCAACUGUUAAUGUAUACAAGUGAAGGGUCCAGAAAGGAAAGAAGAGCUGCUGCUUAAGUUCUCACAUUAAUACUUUUGGAGCGCAGCCAGUGUCUGAUGACAAGACGCCAGAAAACCAAUCGGAAGACGCAAAUAAAAGUAUCUCUGGUGAUUUAUAUCCUCCCACCAAAGUGCUUCAAACUGUAUAUUCCCUUGGUGAUGAUUUUGGUCACAUAGGUAAACAAACUUUUAUAUGUCCUGGGAAAGUCAUAGAAAGUAUUCAUGUUGUUAGGUGCAAUAAAUGCGAAAGUAAUGUUUUAGAUGUCGCUUUGGAACCAAAUGGUGUACAGAAUACCAGCAUGACCCAAAGAACUGAAGUAGUCAACCACUUUGGAGAUGAUGGAUAUUCCGAAUACUCAAAACUGAAUUCACCUUCAGCAGAUUAAACAUCAUUUUCUUCAAUAGAUGUUUAUUAAUCAAGUCCUCCAUUUAUUCAAAGAGUAGAAAUUUCUGAUAGCAUG